rnacentral:rRNA from 1 species
AUGAACGCUGGCGGCGUGCCUAAUACAUGCAAGUCGAGCGAACAGAUGAGGAGCUUGCUCCUCUGACGUUAGCGGCGGACGGGUGAGUAACACGUGGAUAACCUACCUAUAAGACUGGGAUAACUUCGGGAAACCGGAGCUAAUACCGGAUAAUAUAUUGAACCGCAUGGUUCAAUAGUGAAAGACGGUUUUGCUGUCACUUAUAGAUGGAUCCGCGCCACAUUAGCUAGUUGGUAAGGUAACGGCUUACCAAGGCAACGAUGCGUAGCCGACCUGAGAGGGUGAUCGGCCACACUGGAACUGAGACAUGGUCCAGACUCCUACGGGAGGCAGCAGUAGGGAAUCUUCCGCAAAGGGCGAAAGCCUGGCGGAGCAACGCCGCGUGAGUGAUGAAGGUCUUCGGAUCGUAAAACUCUGUUAUUAGGAAAGAACAAAUGUGUAAGUAACUAUGCACGUCUUGACGGUACCUAAUCAGAAAGCCACGGCUAACUACGUG